ACGCUCCCUCUCACUUUCCCUCUCCCUCUCCCCAAACUACCUAAAGCCUCUCUCUCCUCCCUUUCUCCCUCUCUCUCUGCAACUCAAAAGAAAAAAGACUUUUUGGUCCGUCCCAUGGCGGUUCUGAACCGCGUUCUGAGAUCACGACGACCGGGAAGCUUCUUCUUACUCCGGAGCUUCCGCUCCUCGUCUUUUCUAAAUUCCGAAACUGACCUCAAAGCGUCUGCCUCCGUCAUCCCAAAGCCCCUUCCCCUGCAUCGCGACGUCAACGACAGGAAUGUCCAGUGGGUCUUCCUCGGCUGCCCCGGCGUCGGAAAAGGCACCUACGCCUCCCGCCUCUGCCACCUCCUCGGCGUCCCUCACAUCGCCACCGGCGAUCUCGUCCGCGACGAGCUCGCUGCCUCCGGCCCCUUGGCUCUUCAGCUUGCGGAGGUUGUGAAUCAGGGGAAAUUGGUUUCGGAUGAGAUUAUAAUAAACUUGUUGUCCAAGCGUCUUGAGGCUAGUGCAGCUAAGGGUGAAACUGGCUUCAUUCUUGACGGUUUUCCGAGGACGAUUCGACAGGCGGAAAUUUUGGAGGGAGUGACAGACAUUGACUUGGUUGUCAACCUAAAGCUUCGUGAAGAGGCUUUGCUUGCGAAGUGUCUUGGAAGGAGGAUUUGUAGUGAGUGUGGAGGAAAUUACAAUGUUGCCUCCAUUCACAUUAAGGCCGAGGAUGGGAACCCUGGCAUGUACAUGGCUCCACUUCUUCCCCCUCCACAAUGUGCAUUAAAGCUGAUCACGAGAUCCGAUGACACUGAAGAAGUUGUUAAGGAGCGACUUCGUAUAUACAAUGAUAUGAGUCAACCCGUGGAGGAGUUCUACCGAAGUCGGGGAAAAUUGUUAGAGUUUGAUCUUCCCGGAGGGAUUCCCGAAUCCUGGCCAAAGCUACUUCAGGCUUUGAAUCUGGAAGACCCUGAAGACAAAUGGUCUGCAGCAGCAUGAUUCAUAAAUCCUGUACUAUAUACACUAGACAAAGUUUUCAUUAGGUAAGCUAUAUCAUUCUUUGCAAUGUCAUGGAAGCAGAUGCAUAUAAUUUGCAAUUGAAGGGGAAAACUUUGGUGUGCAAUAAAAAGCAGGUUUAAAGUUAGAGUUCCCUCUCCCCCCUCCCCCUCGUUGCAAUUUGCUUGGGUCAGAGUGAUACUUCUCAUUCCAGCGUCAGAAGAGGUUUAAAGUUAGAGUUCCCUCUCCCCCCUCGAACGAGGGACAAAGGGGAAUGGACAUGUUGCAUUAUGUGGGUUCUAACCAUGUAAAGAAUAAAAUGUUGGAUCGGACGAGGGUUAGCGUCGUUCGGAAUCCAAUCUGGUGGUGGUUGAUGCUGAUGCUUAAAGUUUUGUUUCUGUAUUUGUCAAUAGAAGAUAGAUUUAUCGACUUGUAAACCAUCUGAGGUAUAUUAAUCAACUUUGCACCUUGAAAAUA